rnacentral:lncRNA from 10 species
UUGAAUUUUUUAAGCUAACCCUCCUAGUGUGGUGGUGUGUCCCUCUGAGUGCCCAGAAAGGCCUCCAAUCGAGUUCUUGCCUGGACAGAGGGCUGGAAGGGGAAGAAGGCCUGGUGGGCCUGGGGAGGCUGGGCCACUUCUGAGAGUGGGAUAUUUCAGUGAUGUGUGUAAGCGCAGUUCAACUCACACAGGUAGUGGAUUUUAAAAUCAGUAGCAAAUUAAGAAAACAAUUCCAUUUACCAUAGCAUCAUAAAGUAUAAAGUAGGCAUAAAUUUAAUAAAAGAAGUACAAGACUGUACUUCUUGAGAGCUGUAGCUGGGCUUGGUGGCUCACAGCUGUAAUCCCAGCACGUUGGGAAGCCAAGGCUGGACCCGGUGGCAGCUGCCUGUGGUCCCAGCUACUUGGGAGGCUGUGGUGGGAGGAUCACUUGAGCCCAGGAGACUAAGGCUGCAGUGAGCUGUGUUCCUGCCAUUCCACUCCAGCCUGGGCAAUAGAGUGAGACCCUGUCUCGAAACAAGCAAAAGAACUAAAACUUUGGUGAAAAAAAAAAUUAAAGAUGAUCUAAAUAAAUGGUAAGACAUUCCACGUUCAUGGAUUGGAAAGUAUAAUAUUGUUAAGAUGGCAGUACUCCACAAAUUGGUCUACGGAUGCAAUGUAAUCCCUUUCAAAUUUACAAUGUUUUUGUUGAAAUUGACAAAUUGAUCCUAAAAUUAAUAAUAAAUUGCAAAUGGCCCCAAAAUAGCCAAAACAA